UACGUAGGGUGCGAGCGUUGUCCGGAAUUAUUGGGCGUAAAGAGCUUGUAGGCGGUUUGUCGCGUCUGCCGUGAAAAUCCGGGGCUCAACCCCGGACUUGCGGUGGGUACGGGCAGACUAGAGUGUGGUAGGGGAGACUGGAAUUCCUGGUGUAGCGGUGAAAUGCGCAGAUAUCAGGAGGAACACCGGUGGCGAAGGCGGUCUGCUGGGCCGAUACUGACGCUGAGGAGCGAAAGCGUGGGGAGCAAACAGG
rnacentral:rRNA from 1 species